CUACGGGCCGCUCCAGGCGCGGAACCUUUACAAUGCACGAAAGUGUGAUAAGGGGAUCCCAAGUGCCUUGCUUUAAGCAAGGCUUUUGCCAUAUGUAAAAAGUUUGGCGAAUAAGUGGUGGGUAAGACUUGUGCCAGCCGCCGCGGUAACACCAGCGCCACAAGUGGCAACCGCUUUUAUUUGGCCUAAAGCGUCCGUAGCCGGUUCAGUAAAUUUUCUGUGAAAUCGUUGGGCUUAACCUAACGGUGUGCAGGAAAGACUACUGGACUAGGGACCGGGAGGCGUCAGAGGUAUUCCUGAGGGAGCGGUAAAAUGCUAUAAUCUCAGGAGGACCCCCUGUGGCGAAGGCGUCUGACGAGAACGGAUUCGACGGUCAGGGACGAAAGCUAGGGGGGCAAACCGGAUUAGAUACCCGGGUAGUC
rnacentral:rRNA from 1 species